AACAGAAUCUGGUCCAUUAUGACACAGAAGUGAAGAGCUUGCUCAAGCUCACAGGCCCAGUGAGAGAGUGAGCUGGGAGCUUUCUACCAUACUCUGUUACCUUCCUGGGUACACAUAAGCUCUAAAACAGAAGUGUAACUCUAGAGGAAGGAACAAAAUACGAAUCCAAGAGCUCAGGUCUAUGUUUUGCAUCAUUAAUAUGCAAAUUACUUCAUAUAUUUAUAACAUAAAUUCUGUGUGUCCCAGUGAUGACAGCUAAUGAGAUACUCAUUACUGGUCCAAAACUGGAAAGAAAAUCCGUUGGCCCAGGUGAAGAAGUCCAGUGAAUGCGGGACCGAGGCCCUCUGGUGGAGGAACGGAGGAAGUAUCCGCCCCAAAAGAGGCCAGGCAGGAUGAGGCAACACCAGCCACUGGGUGCGUAUUCCCAAUUAAGCCUUUGAAGCAAAUACAAGUUUUUCGCAAACUGUUUCCAGUUUAUUCCUGGAGAGAGUUUAAGAUUCAGAAGCAAAUUCUUCCUCAAGCUGGGAAGCAUCUGCUUGUAAACAAAGAAGCCACAGUAACCACAGAGCUGAGGCGGCCUGAAGCUACAGCCCACUGCAAUGAAUGCGGCACCCAGAAGGGUCCCCGCCCCACCACAGAUCAAUCGGACAGCAAGAAGAGGUGAAACAGGCACAUCUUAAAGUGCCCAAAUGCAAAAACAUGAGUCCCAAGAAAUCCUGCCAUCCAAACAUGUUUAAAUCACACAAUUUUAUUCAACUAAUCGCUUCCACUGUUGCCAUGAGAGCAGAAAGAGAAAAACGUUCGAGUACAUGGAUAAUCAGGACAAAAAAAAGAGGAAGUUAACUUGCAAGAAUUCUAUUCCAAAUGCUAUGAGAUAACCCAAUUUGAGAGAGGCAAACAAAACCCACACGAUGGCCUUCAUAUCUCCAAACUGUUAGUUAAUUCUUAAAAUGUUGAGAUCAAUCAAGUAUCUAAGAAGGAACUGUUGCUUAAAACUCCACUUCAAAAUGAAGAUAAGAGAGCCAAGGAAUCUCCCAAUCUCCCUGUUUUGAGGGUUUCCACAAAUCCCUGACAUUAGGUCAUUUAUUCCAUUUCAACACCCUUGCCUGAGAGAGUGCAAUGAUGUCAGAAUUCAUUAUGGUAAACUAUUCUCAAAACAAAUGUUCCUGCCAGCAUUCGCGCAGCGGGCACUCUGGCAAGCUUUCAGAACUUGGGGUUCAUCUCCUGCACUUUACUUCACAAGCUUCCUGAGCUGGGUGCAUUUCCUUCCACAUGGAAUGGUUCCCAACAGCUAGGCUGGGACCAAGGAGGAAAGGGCCUGCAGGUCCGCGGAGCGCCAGCUGCUCGUUCUGCCUGACAGGCAAAGCUCUGCUUCCGCUCACCAACAUGACUGUCCUCAGCCCAUUAUGGAGAGCUCAGGCCAGAGUCCCACAGCCUUGCUCUCAUUCAAAUCCUUGUUUUCCCACUGGCAGGAAAGCCUACCACUUUUCAUGGGGACAUAGUCUACGCUUCCCUUGACCUACUUCCAUCUUUUCUUCUCUCCUAUCUUUUCUGUCUGGUUUUAUCCUCCUCCUGCUGAACCUCCUUCCAGGGCUUGUCUGCUGACUCGCCAGCAUUCGACCCUCCCUCUCUACCCUCUAUCUUGGCAAUAGGUUCCAGUUCCCCCUUGGGCCACAUGGCAGCACCUUUCCAGGCUCUGAAAUGUACAUUCUAAUGUACAAGCUUAUCGCACCUGGUUUCGUCCUGUUCUAUGACUCUGAACAACAUUCUCGGCUCUUUAAUAUUGCCAUCUGUCCCUCUGUAAUCAAACCAAGGAGGAAAUGUAAAUGGGAAGAAAGCCAGAGCUCCAGAAUCAAAAUGGAAAACCAAGGCUAGAGAAUCAUUUCAGCCUGUGACGAGUGGCUACUUCAAUAACAAGCUCAAUACAUUUUUGUUGUGUUGUUAUUUCUCCUUUUAUUUCUUGGGAGUAGGAUGGGAAAAGACAAUUCUUCCCUUUAACUUGUCCUUCCAAAUUAUCUUCAGACCUCAAAAUCUGACGCAGGCACCAAUACACAUAAAUUCAAUAUCAACUGUCAUUGUCGUGGAAACUCAAAGUAGUGGUGUGAAUAAAAGACCGGGUCAAUUUCCUGGGUAAUGAGGAAAAGGUGGCCUGCUACAGUCUAUUCAAUAUUUUUUUCUCUUAUGUGGCUGAGAAUUUUAUAAUUAAAGAUCAAACGCAAUAAGUCAACCCAGUAGAUCUCAAAGAGCAAAGAAACUGUCUGCCUUUCUCCAUGUUUUCUUCUCACCAAGCAGCACUCCUGAAACGCUGAAGCAGUACGUUACUUCCACAGUGACUGAGCAAUGUUUCACCGCAGAGGCCAGGUUGGUCCCUGAGGACACAUCGUUGAGGAGGGGACACCAUCCCUGCCUCAGGGAGCUUAGAUGGCUUCACAUCCCCACAAAAAUAAAGUCUACCACGUCCCAGGAACUCCCUACGUAAUUCCCAGGUCUGGCUCACAAUGACAAAAGACAACAAACCAUGCAAGCAUCGGCUGGCUUGAGAAAUAAAGGGACAGAGUACAAAAGAGAGAAAUUUUAAAGCUGGGCGUUCGGGGGAGACAUCACAUGAAGGGAGAUUCAGAGGAGAACCAGCUACCACAACCAUCAGUCAGCCAGAACAGAGAGACAGAAGAUGCAAAUUAUGCCAGGGGGAGGCAGAAGGAGGAAGAGCUAGCAGAAAAAAAGAUACAGCGUGUCCACGCCAAACCUGGAGAACCAUCACCAGAAGGCAUUCAUAAAUAAAAAGUAAAAAUUCAAAGCCAAAA